rnacentral:rRNA from 1 species
GACGAACGCUGGCGGCGUGCCUAAUACAUGCAAGUCGAGCGAAUUUACGAGAGCUUGCUCUCGUAAAUUAGCGGCGGACGGGUGAGUAACACGUGGGCAACCUGCCUAUAAGACUGGGAUAACUUCGGGAAACCGGAGCUAAUACCGGAUAAUUCACAUCUACUCAUGUAGAUGUGCUGAAAGACGGUUUCGGCUGUCACUUAUAGAUGGGCCCGCGGCGCAUUAGCUAGUUGGUGAGGUAACGGCUCACCAAGGCCACGAUGCGUAGCCGACCUGGGCGGGUGAUCGGCCAAACUGGGACUGAGCCACGGCCCAGACUCCGACGGGAGGCAGCAGUAGGGAAUCUUCCGCAAUGGACGAAAGUCUGACGGAGCAACGCCGCGUGAGUGAUGAAGGUUUUCGGAUCGUAAAACUCUGUUGUUAGGGAAGAACAAGUACCAGAGUAACUGCUGGUACCUUGACGGUACCUAACCAGAAAGCCACGGCUAACUACGUGCCAGCAGCCGCCGUAA